AUGGAAAUGCAGAAAUCACCCGUCUUCUGCGUCGCUCACGCUGGUUGCUGUAGACCGGAGCUGUUCCUAUUCGGCCAUCUUGGCUCCUCCCGUGAGAUUUUUAAAAACCAGAAAUGAAGGGAGCAGGUAGGAUGCCAGGAUGGGACUCGCAUCUGCUCUGGUUGAUGAGGCGCUGUGAGGAUGGCAGGGAAUGUUCUUCCCUCAGGAGGUGACUAUAUCAAAAUUUAUUCAGUUUUUGGGAUAGACUUCUAGGAUGUUUCUUUUCUAUUCCCAUUAUCGCCAAUCCUAGGAUGAACAACCUUGUUCCCUUCUGCUUGUGAGAGUUUGUCUAAGACAUAUCCCCAGAAAUGAAGUAGCUUUUCCAACUAUCAUGACACUGUUCAUCAAAAAAAAAUUAUAUCAGGACCUGAACCUGUAAAACAACUGGAAGAAAACAUAGGGAAAAUCUCCAUGACGUUGGUCUUGGCGAUAUCUUGAGUAUUACCCAAAAAGCACAGGUAAUGAAAGCAAAAAUAGACAAAUGGGAUGGCAUCAAAUGCAAAAGCUUCUGCACACCACAGGAAACCAUCAGGAGUGAAUAGACAGCCUGCAGAAUGGGAGAAAAUACUUGCAAACCAUAUAGCUGAUAAAAGGUUAGUAUCCAAAAUAUAUAAGAUACCCAAACAACUCAACAGCAAGAAAACAGAUAACCUCGUUAAAAAAUGGGCAAUGAAUUGCGAUUUCUCUAAAGAAGACACACAAAGGACCAACAGGUUUAUAAAGUGCCCAGCAUGGCUAAUCAUCAGAGAAUGCAAAUUAAAACCACAAUGAAAUAUCACCUCACACUCGCAAGAAUGGCUUUUAUCAAAAAGAUGAAAGAUAAGUCGUAUUAGUCCAUUCUUGCAUUGCAUAUAAAGAAAUACCUGAGACUGGAUAAUUUAUAAAGAAAAGAGGUUUCGUUGGCUUAUGGUUCCACAGGCUGUACAGGAAGCAUGAUGCUGGCAUCUACUCGGCUUCUGGGGAGACUUAAGGAAAUUUAAAAUCACGGUAGAAGGCGAAGAAGAAGGACACACAUCACGUGGCCAGAGUAGGAGCAAGAGAGAAAGGGAAGGAGCUGCUACAUACUUUUAAACAGCCCGGUCUAUGAGAACUCUCUCACUAUCUAUGACGAGGACAAUACCAAGGGAGAGGGCGCUAAACCAUUCAUGAGAAACCACCCCCAUGAUCCAAUCACAUCCCACCAGGCCCCACUUCCAACAGUGGGGAUUACAAUUCCACAUGAGAUUUUGGCAGGAACACAGAUACAUGCCAUAUCGCAAGAGUAGAGAUAUAAAAAAUGAAACUACCAUAUAAUUCAACAAUCCCAC
rnacentral:lncRNA from 10 species